rnacentral:rRNA from 1 species
GGGGAAUAUUGCACAAUGGGCGAAAGCCUGAUGCAGCAACGCCGCGUGAGUGAUGAAGGUUUUCGGAUCGUAAAGCUCUGUUGCCAGGGAAGAACGUCCGUUAGAGUAACUGCUAACGGAGUGACGGUACCUGAGAAGAAAGCCCCGGCUAACUACGUGCCAGCAGCCGCGGUAAUACGUAGGGGGCGAGCGUUGUCCGGAAUUAUUGGGCGUAAAGCGCGCGCAGGCGGCUGUUUAAGUCUGGUGUUUAAUCCUGGGGCUCAACCCCGGGUCGCACUGGAAACUGGGCAGCUUGAGUGCAGAAGAGGAGAGUGGAAUUCCACGUGUAGCGGUGAAAUGCGUAGAGAUGUGGAGGAACACCAGUGGCGAAGGCGACUCUCUGGGCUGUAACUGACGCUGAGGCGCGAAAGCGUGGGGAGCAAAC